rnacentral:rRNA from 1 species
AAUGUAUUUGAUUCACGACAUAAGCGUAUUUCCAUCCAAGGAAGAGGAAUUUGUUUGAACCGAGAAAGAGGGCACAGCAUUGAUCCAAUUCACAUCGACGAUCCUCUUUGCCCUGCUAACAAUGUGGGACGGAAUUGUUUCCGGGUCCACCAGUGCAUCAGAGCCUUUGAAGAUGCUUUCGCUGUUCUAGAGAACGAGCUACUGCAGUUCACUGCAGAAUAUAACAUGCCCGCAUCAUCAUUCAGCCUGCUGAAGAAAAUAAUUCCAAGCAUUGAUUCCAAUGAGUUGUACCAGUAA